AUAAAAGGAGAAGGCCCCUGCCCAGAUUGAGAUUCAAAUCUCUUUGAAGAGGGUUUGACCAACAUAGAAAAACAAAACAAAACAAAAAUCUCAUUGGUGUCAAAGCAAGUUGCCUUGGAGUGCAGGCUGGAGCUUUGCCAUAAAUCACCAAUAGUUACCACAAGGUGUGGACAGGGAAGACCAGAGCCAUAGAAGUAGUCACUGGGUUGCGGAAAGUUGAUGGAAGGUGCAACCAGAGCUACUAUGGAAGUGGCUCCUUGGUGGAUGGUCAUUUGCUUGAGAUAGAGGAUACAAGGAUCCUGCAAGACACACUUCCUGCUCCCAAGUUUACAUCAGUCCAUUUUUGUUGAAGUAAUUUCAGUACCACUUUUGGUUUUAAAAUUUCAGACCUUGGGGUCACGUUAAUGCAGCACCUGAUGGAGAAGAAAGAAACGGAGCUUAUCUCAGAUCAACCACACUUCAAUUCAGUUCUCUUAAGCUACAUGAAGCACCAUGAAAAUCAUUAAUUUAUGUAAAAUUAUUAGUUCCAUUUCCAACAGUAUUCUAUUUAAUAGAAUCAAACAAAAUUUGCAAUUAAAAUG
rnacentral:lncRNA from 1 species